GGUGGCCCAGAAGUAGGCCCAAGCGACUGUUUACCAAAAACAUAGGUUUCUGCUAAGUCGCAAGACGAUGUAUAGGAGCUGACGCCUGCCCGGUGCUGGAAGGUUAAGGGGAUCUGUUAGAGCAAUCGAAGCAGUGAACUUAAGCCACAGUAAACGGCGGCCGUAACUAUAACGGUCCUAAGGUAGCGAAAUUCCUUGUCGGGUAAGUUCCGACCCGCACGAAAGGCGUAACGAUUUGGGCACUGUCUCAACAACAGACUCGGUGAAAUUGUAAUUCCGGUGAAGAUGCCGGAUACCUGCGACAGGACGGAAAGACCCCAUGG
rnacentral:rRNA from 1 species